GGAUGAAUCUAACGUCCUUCUGAUAACAGCCAGGAAGAGCAUGGGUCCAAAGCCUUAAGUGGGAAAUUCUAUCUGACAUUGAAAGAGCUGCAUCCAGCGAGAUCUCUAUCAUGGCGGACUCAAGGGGAAAAAUUCCAGAAAGUCAACUUCUAAACGGGCCUUAGAAGAACAAACUUGCACAACUGGGCCUCCACGGGAGGCUGCGCUUUAUGCCGUACACAAGGGAGAAAGUGGAUUUGAAUUCUGCCCACCAAACUGUGUACCCACAUGAAAGGCCUAGGCUUUAAAAUUUUAUAUAAAAGAGGUCCCUCAUCCAGCUACCCCGUCUCCACCGGCUCUCAACAACAACAAAAAUUAGUGAAAUCCACAUCUUCUCCCGGGCAUGGCUUCUAAAGGACAGAUCAGCAUCUCAAUCAUUAUAUCCCCAGCAGCGCCUGACACGAAAAAGUGCCACAAGCUCUCCCAUCGUGGUUGAUUUGGAAAGAAUCCCGAAGCUUCUGCCACCCAAAGCAGGAACAGAAGGAAACCAACCCUGAUGGUCACAGCUCCCUGAAGCAUGGAGACAGGGUGAUAUUGAAAGACGGCAGCUCAACCUCUAAUCUCCUAAAUGCCAGCUACACAUCCGCUCCUUAGUGCCAGGGUGAAAACGGUGGGUUCUGACUCCUCUGCCUUCCAGAUCUGUGAAUGACUUCCACCGGCAGAACCCUUCUGGAGAAAGAUCUGGCAAAGUGUAGUUCUUACACUUCUAACGAACACACCAGUUAGGACGCCUCUUUGCCUAAUGAUAAAAGUAACCCGAAUUUAGAUUAGGUUACUAAUUCCUAAUUAGGAAAACUAAUUCCUGGGGCUGGGGAUUUAGCUCAGCGGCAAAGUGCCUGCCUGGCAAGCGCAAGGUCAUGAGUUCGAUUCCUGAUACCGGGAGAAAAGACAAAACAAAACAAAACAAAACAAUUCCUAAUUCAGGAAAGGCAUCGGUUCUCAUAGCUAAAAUUCUAGUUCUGCUGUUUGUUUAUUUAUUUGGUCUUUUUUGAGAUAGGGUCUCAUUAUGC